GGAAGAUGGCAGGAGGGGGAGCCGAACGAAGAGUGAGCAAGCCAGGCAGAAGGCCCAGCCGUUCUGCUGCAGAGCCGGGAGGGGAUGCCUGCUUCUGAUUCUGACAAGGACUCCACCCCCACAGUACAGUACUAGAAAUAUCUGCACAGCAAUCCUGCAGCCGCUCCACCACGAACAAGUCAAACAACUGAGGCACAACCUAAGGGCAACACACUCUAUCCCAACUCCGGCAGUACCCUCUGCCUAUGAAGCAGCCAGUCCUGCAUCCUGUCAAGACACCUCACUGCCACUUUCUGACAGCCCCUUGAACAAGUAUUGCUCACACCUCUGCACACCGAUUCCCCAAUCCCCAGACCACCGGCUCGGAUGAAGCUCAAACUGCAUACACACUCCUUUCAGUCUAUAGGAGGAAGGGAAGGAGCACAUUCUGGGUGGAGCCUGGAAACAGAGCAAGAGUCCAUCUUAAAACAACACCACCAACAACAAAAUAUCUGUGGCCGAGUGUCGUGGCUCACACCCAUAAUCCCAGCACUUUGGGAGGCCAAGGUGGGCAGAUUAUGAGGUCAGGAGAUGGAGACCAGUCUGGCCAAUAUGGUGAAACCCCAUCUCUACUAAAAAUACAAAAAUUAGCCGGGUGUGGUGGUACGCGCCUGUAGUCCCAGCUACUCAGGAGGCAGAAGCAGAAGAGUCGAUUGAACUUGUGAGGUGGAGGUUGCAGUGAGUCGAGAUGGUACCACUAAACUCCAGCCUGGACACAGAGUAAGACCGCUUUUCAAAACAAACAAACAAAACAAAUCUGUAAGCCUGGACACCUGGGACUUAAGAAAACAAAAAGUCUGGCUUGGCUGGGUAAGGUGGCUCAGGCCUGUAAUCCCAGCACUUUGGGAGGUCGAGGCAGGAAGACUGCUCAAGGCAAGGAGUUCAAGAUUCAAGACCAGCCUGGUGAAAACAGCAAGACCUCAUUGCUAAA